UUUUUUUUUUUUUUUUAAGAUUUUAUUUAUUUGAGAGAAAGAGAGCACCAGCAAGGUGAGGGGCAAAGGAAGAGGGAGAAGCAGACUCCCUGCUGUGUUGGGGGUCUGAUGUGGGGCUUGAUCCCAUGGACCCUGAGAUCAUGAGACCAUGACCUGAGCCCAAGUGGGACAUGUAGGAUGUUUGAUGGACUGAGCCACCCAGGCGCCCCUACUUUAUUGCUUGUUAGAGAAAUGUGCCCACAUGAAACCACCUUCUUGCCUCAGCUAUCCACUAUCACCUUUUGAGAGUCACUGUCAUCUGGUAUUCUCCCAUUUCUGCUGACACUGCUGCUUGGAAACAAUCUGAGCUUUCCUUCUUAGGCAACUUCAGGAAGAGGUACACAAAGUGAAAACAAGAAGUAGAAGCAUUUCUUCUUAAAUCAUUAAUGUGGAUAAAGAGUUGAUCCAUGAUAUAGGUGCAGCAUCCUGGGCUUUAGGGCUAACGGUCAUACAAAUGACAUAUUCUGUAAGAGUCACUCAAUCACCAACACCACUUUUGCACGUAGAAGUUCUCCUAUUGCUUAUUAAUAAAAGCUAAAUUACAAUCUUACUCCUUCUGUAUGCAAGCUUUGGGAUUACAGUUGGUUCUCAUCAUGUCUCUCUGCAUUAAUGAGCCCACUUCAUGGUUGUACUUCUAAUUGCAUGUCAAGUCUAAGCAUAAGAAAUGGAGUUUGGGUAAUAUAAUAGCAGCUUUCUUAUCUAUGUAUGGUGAACCUUUGAACAAUGCAGAGGUUAAGGGUGCUGACCCCCCACAGUGUCAAAAAUCUGUAUAUAACUUCUGACUCCCCCAAAACUUAACUACUAGGAGCUUACUGAUGACCAGAGGCUUACUAAUAACAUAAUCAAUUAAAUAUAUUUUGUAUGUUACAUAUACUGUAGCCUUACAACAAAAUAAGUGAGAGAAAACAUUAAGGAAACACAUUUACAGUACUGUAUUGUAUUUAUCAGAAAAAAAUCACAUAUAAGUGGACCCAUACAGUUCAAACCCAUGUUAUUCAAGGGUCAACUGUAGAUGUAAGUAGAACUGAAAGGGGAAAGUUAAGAUCCUCACAGAGAAAGAAAAUAAAUUGAUUUGGUAUUAAGAUGAAGAUCACAUACUUGGAAUAGAAAUGGAUUCUCAUUUAUAAGCAGCAGCACAGGGUAGUGGAUAAAUACCUGUCUCGAGACAGACUGCCUGCAAAUGAGUUCUGGUUUCAUGACUUACUUUUGACCCUAGGCAAAUCCUUAAUCUCUCGGUGCCUUAGGUUUCCCCAACUGCAAAACAGAGAUGAUAAUUUGAUCUACCUCGUAGGGUAGUUAUUAGGAUUAAUAUUUAUAAAUGCUUAAAUCAAGGCCUGGAACAUAGAAUUAUAUGCAUGUUUGAUAAAUAAAAGAAUUUAAGUUUUUGGUGUUCCUCAUGUGACUUCCAAUGCUGGUCUAGCACACAGUCAUCUUGGAAAUGGUCAUUUCUGCCCACAUGAAAAGAAAAAAAGCUGAACUAAAAAAUUGACAACUUUUAUUAGAUCUGUCAUAAACCAAAACACUGUCACAAAAUCUGGAGAGGCAGACAGACUGAUACAGAGAACUACAACUUACCAGAACAGAAACUCACAUACAGAAACCUCAACAGGAACCUCUAUGGUAGAACACCUGAGCAGUAAUGAAUGGACUAAUUGCUGGAGUUCAAUGCAGACAAGUCUGAUAGUUAAAAACUCUCCAUUGGGGGGUCACUCAUGGGAUGACUCCCACUCUUUCGUGAGUUUUACCUCCAGAAGCCCUACCAGGCUCUCACAGUGAAUAUUGGGGGGAAAAGUCUUCUCAUGCUUCUGGCAAGGGGAGGGGAACAGUUAGCCAUUCUGACAUAGGGCCAGAACACUCUGUUCUUCUUAAUAAGGCUUGUCCUCAAGAGAAACUAUGUCACCAGAGCCCAAGAGACUGGGGUUUUACCACAGUCCACCUAACUUGGGGGAAAAGAAAGACCCAACUCCAUUCCCCAUUAGUUUUCCUGUCUUACCUAAGGAGGAUGGGGUGGGGAACUGAGAAUCACUUGUAAAGGUCACAGCCUAGGGGCCCAGGCUCACUAAAAGACUAAGACCAAAUCAUAGGACUACAGAAUGCUUCCCCCUUCCCACACCUUACCAACACUAGGUGGUUAUAUAUUCCAGUUACUUUUAUCCAGUACAUGAUGUCUGGUUUUCAACAAUAAGUUACAAGGCAUACUAAUAGACAAAAAUAUAUAGUUUGAAGAUGACAGAGCAAACCUCAGAAACUGUCUCAGAUAUGGCAAGGAAUGUGGAAUGAUAGGACCAGGAAUUUUAAAAUAACUAUAAUUAAUAUGCUAAGGGCUCUAAUGGAAAAAGGUAGACAACACUUAAGAACACAAGAGACCAUCUAAAUGACCAUGGGCUUGGGGAUGAUGAUUUUUUAGAUAUAAUGCCAAAGAUAGUAUUAAAAAAAAAAAAAAGCUGGCAAGUUGGAUUCAAUUAAAAUUAAAAACUUCUGUAAUGUAAAAGACACCGUCAAGAGAAUGAGAAGGCAAGCCACGGACUGGGAGAAAAUAUUGCAAAACAUAUAUGUAUCAUCCAAAAUAUACAAAGAACUCUUUAAAAAAGUGUUUUUUUUUUUUUUUUUAUAAAGCACUCUUAAAACUCAAGAAUAAGAAAAUAUAAAACUCAAUUUGAAAAUAAGCAAAAGAUCUGGACACCUCACCAAAGAUUUGUAAAUGACAAAUAAGCAAAUGUAUUUGCUCAACAUAUAUUAAUAUCAUAUGCCAGUAAGGAAUCACAAAUUAAAAUAACAAGAUACCACCAUAGACCUAUUAGAAUGGUCAAGAUCCAAAACACUGACAACAGCAAAUGGUGGUGCAGAUGUAACGCAAUAAGAUCUUCACUGUUGGUUGGAAUGCAAAAUGGUACAGCCACUCUGGAAUACAGUCUGACAGGUUUCUUUACAAUGCUGAACAUAUUCUUACCAUAUGAUCCAGCAAUUGUGCACUUUGGUAUUUAUCCAAAUGAGUUGAAAACUGAUGUCCACACAAAAACCUGUAUCUGAAUGUUUAUAGCAGCUUUAUUCCUAAUUGUCAAAAACUUGGAAGCAACCAAGAUGUCCUUUAAUAGGUGAAUGGAUAGAGAAAUUAUGGCACACCCAUAGAAUGGAGUAUUAUUCAGUAAUAAAAAAGAAAGCCACAAGAAGACAUGCAAGAAACUUAAUGCAUAUUGUUAAGUCAAAGAAGCCAAUCAUUGUAAGGAAGCACAACUUUGCUGGCACAAAUCACACUGUCUAGCACAUAUUAGGAGCUCUGUAAUCCCUUUUCUGCCUCCACUUUCCUCCAGAAGUCUCUAAGCCCUCAGUUAGCAGUGUUCCCUGGGGAAGGGGAGUGGGUAACAUCUGCAAGCACAUUUUUGCAUAAGACUGGGAAUCCCAGAGCUAUGGAAAAGACCAGGCAUAUCACUUUCUGUAAGAAAGUUUGAUUAGGGCUUCUCUAACUUUAGUGUGCAUAAAAAUCAGCUGGAGGAGUUUUUUUUUAAACACAGAUGGUAGGGCCCCUUUUGCAGAGUUUCUGAUUCAGUAAGUCUAGGGUGGAAGCUGAGAAUUUGCCUAAUUUUCUUUGUGUUCAGGAUUACUCACAUGUUACAACUAUCAGUGAACAAUGCAAAUCAAAAUAUUCCUUGCUUCUCCUCUCCCUUCAUCUUAUUGUAUUUAUAAGUUGAAGAUAUAAUUUUUUAUUCCUCUAAACAUAUAGAAAAAUCUUAAUAAUGAGAUCAUAUAUAAAUAGCAAAUGAUAAGAAAAGGAAGCUCUUUUAACCAUUCCAUAGAAGUUAGAGAUGAACUUGAUAAUCUAGGGUUUUAAGUUCAUAAUAUGAAGAAAAAUAUGGAAAGGAAAUACAUACUACAUGUGACUUAUUAGUGUUCAAUCAUUUUUGUCUUAGUCUGUUUGGGCUGCUAUAACCAAAAAUACCACAGACUCGGUGUCUCAUAAACAAUAGAAAUUUAUUUCUCACCAUUCCUGGAGGCUGAAAGACUGAAAUUGGGGUCCUGACAUGACUGGGUGAGAGCUCUCUGAGUCACAGACUUCUUAUGGUAUCCUCAUGUGGUGGAAGGGGCCAGGGAGCUCAGUGGGAUCUCUUUUAUAAACCUACUAAUUCCAUUCAUGAAGGUUCCAUCCUCCCCUUCCUACCUCCUAAUGUGAUCACUUUGGGGGAUUAGAAUUUCAACAUAUGAAUUUGCAGGGGGACAGAAAUAUUCAGACCACAGCAGUUGUCAAUACAUAAAACGUUUUCACAUAUUAACUACAUAGUUUCCAGUUUGAGUCUUGAAAAACAGCAAAACAAAUGUCUUUGCUAAAAUGUAGUUGUAAGUCAAAAUCUCUUUAAAUUGAUAAAUGUGUCAGAACAAGAAAAGAAAAAUACAUUUUUAUUUUUUUCUGAUGAUAAAAGCUAUUCAUAUGCCUUACAGAAGAUUUGGAAAAUAUAUAAAGAAGAAAGUUCAAAAAGAAAAAAAAAAAA
rnacentral:lncRNA from 1 species